rnacentral:rRNA from 1 species
GAUGAACGCUGGCGGCGUGCCUAAUACAUGCAAGUCGAGCGAACAGACGAGGAGCUUGCUCCUCUGACGUUAGCGGCGGACGGGUGAGUAACACGUGGAUAACCUACCUAUAAGACUGGGAUAACUUCGGGAAACCGGAGCUAAUACCGGAUAAUAUAUUGAACCGCAUGGUUCAAUAGUGAAAGACGGUUUUGCUGUCACUUAUAGAUGGAUCCGCGCCGCAUUAGCUAGUUGGUAAGGUAACGGCUUACCAAGGCAACGAUGCGUAGCCGACCUGAGAGGGUGAUCGGCCACACUGGAACUGAGACACGGUCCAGACUCCUACGGGAGGCAGCAGUAGGGAAUCUUCCGCAAUGGGCGAAAGCCUGACGGAGCAACGCCGCGUGAGUGAUGAAGGUCUUCGGAUCGUAAAACUCUGUUAUUAGGGAAGAACAAAUGUGUAAGUAACUAUGCACGUCCUGACGGUAUCUAAUCAGAAAGCCACGGCUAACUACGUG